rnacentral:tmRNA from 1 species
UCGGCCUGUCGCUGAGCCAGGCGCGGAACGAGAUCGAUCAGCGGCUAAGCAUGUAGACGCCGGCGGGGGACCGGCUUCGGACGCGGGUUCGAUUCCCGCCGCCUCCACCA